GAUGAACGCUAGCUACAGGCUUAACACAUGCAAGUCGAGGGGAAACGACAUCGAAAGCUUGCUUUUGAUGGGCGUCGACCGGCGCACGGGUGAGUAACGCGUAUCCAACCUGCCCACCACUUGGGGAUAACCUUGCGAAAGUAAGACUAAUACCCGAUGAUAUCCCUAGAAGACAUCUGAAAGGGAUUAAAGAUUUAUCGGUGAUGGAUGGGGAUGCGUCUGAUUAGCUUGUUGGCGGGGUAACGGCCCACCAAGGCAACGAUCAGUAGGGGUUCUGAGAGGAAGGUCCCCCCACAUUGGAACUGAGACACGGUCCAAAACUCCUACGGGAGGCAGCAGUGAGGAAUAUUGGUCAAUGGGCGAGAGCCUGAACCAGCCAAGUAGCGUGCAGGACGACGGCCCUAUGGGUUGUAAACUGCUUUUAUAAGGGAAUAAAGUGAGUCUCGUGAGACUUUUUGCAUGUACCUUAUGAAUAAGGACCGGCUAAUUCCGUG
rnacentral:rRNA from 1 species